UUCUCCCUUAAUCCUUUCUUAAAUUAUCAGGGAAGAAAAUAUAUGACAGUCUUUAAGUUGCACAAGUGGUGUUACAUUGGUCACAGUAAAUGUUGCAUGUAAAACACAUUUCAGCUAAUAGCUCACCACAUUUUCUUAAUGCUGAGAACUUCAAAGACGGGAAUAAAAUUAAACACGCCUACUUUUCUUUUCAUUUGUUGAGGAGGGAAAAAGGGUGUGUGUUUUUGUAACUAAUGUAACCUGCUUAAGCAAUGUAAGUUUUCCCAACCUAAGCGCCUUUAAUUUUGUUCCUAAAAUUUAUUGUCAUUUCACCAAAUGAAAAAAAAACAAAAGCAUCAGAACAAUAAAGGGUCAUUAAUCUGUUCUCUAAUC